rnacentral:rRNA from 1 species
UGAUGAUCGGGAGUCAGACAGUGUGAGAUAAGUUUCAUUGUCGAAAGGGAAACAGCCCAGAUCUACGACUAAGGUCCCAAAGUUCAAGUUAAGUGGAAAAGGAUGUGCAAUUGCGUAGACAACCAGGAUGUUGGCUUAGUAGCAGCCAUUCAUUCAAAGAGUGCGUAAUAGCUCACUGGUCGAGUGAUUGUGCGCCGAAAAUGUAACGGGGCUAAACUUGACACCGAAGUCUAGGCAGAAGGAAACUUCUGGGUAGGGGAGCAACGUGUACGGGCAGAAGCAGAAGCGGAAGCGACUGUGGACUGUACAGGAGAGAGAAUGCCGGCAUGAGUAGCGAGAGCAAAGUGAGAAUCUUUGCCGUCGAAAGCCUAAGGUUUCCUGAGGAAGGCUCGUCCUCUCAGGGUAAGUCGGGACCUAAGCCGAGGACAACAGUCGUAGGCGAUGGACAAUCGGUUAAUAUUCCGAUACCGCCGAGCAACCGGAUGCAGUGACACAGAAGGAUAGGCAGAGCGUGGCGAUGGUAGACCACGUCCAAGCAGUGAGGCUGUUGUGUAGUGAAGUACGCACAACGUAAGGCUGGGCUGUGAUGGGGAACGAUUACGAUCGGUAAGCUGCUGAAUUCACGCUGGCGAGAAAAGCUGCUACGAAGCGAAGGCGCCCGUACCGCAAACCGACACAGGUAGGCGAGGAGAGAAUCCUAAGACGAGCGGGAGAACCCUUGUUAAGGAACUCGGCAAAAUGACUCCGUAACUUAGGGAGAAGGAGUGCCCAGGAAUGGGCCGCAGAGAAUAGACCCAAGCGACUGUUUACCAAAAACACAGGUCUGUGCGAAGUAGAGAUACGACGUAUACGGGCUGACACCUGCCCAGUGCCGGAAGGUUAAGGGGAAAUGUUAGGGCAACCGAAGCAUGGAACUUAAGCCCCGGUGAACGGCGGCCGUAACUAUAACGGUCCUAAGGUAGCGAAAUUCCUUGUCGGGUAAGUUCCGACCCGCACGAAUGGUGUAACGAUUUGGGUACUGUCUCAACAAGGGACCCGGCGAAAUUGUAGUAUGUGUGAAGAUGCACAUUACCCGCGAUAGGACGGAAAGACCCCGUAGAGCUUUACUGUAGUUUAACAUUGGAUUCCGGUAACAUAUGCACAGGAUAGGUGGGAGGCGGAGAAGCAGUGAUUUCGGUUGCUGCAGAGCCGACGUUGGGAUACCACUCUUGUGUUACUGGGGUUCUAACCUGUGGCCGUGAUCCGGCACAGGAACAGUGUUAGAUGGGCAGUUUGACUGGGGCGGUCGCCUCCAAAAGAGUAACGGAGGCGUCCAAAGGUUCCCUCAGAAUGGUUGGAAACCAUUCGAAGAGUGCAAAGGCAGAAGGG